rnacentral:tRNA from 1 species
AGUGAUGUGCCUGAUUAAAGGAUCUUCUUGAUAGGGAGAAUAAUGCAAACCAAUGUCUUCGCUA